GACGACCGCUGGCGGCGUGCUUAACACAUGCAAGUCGAACGGAAAUGCCCUGCUUUUGUGGGGUGCUCGAGUGGCGAACGGGUGAGUAACACUUGAGUAAUCUUCCCUUGACUUUGGGAUAACUUUAGGAAACUGGGGCUAAUACCGGAUAGGAGCUUCUGCUGCAUGGUGGGGGUUGGAACGUUUCGGAGGUUGGGGAUGGACUCGCGGCUUCUCGGCUUGUUGGUGGGGUAGUGGCUAACCAAGGCUUUGACGGGUAGCCGGCCCAAGAGGGUGACCGGCCACAUAUGGACUGAGAUACGGCCCAGCCUCCUAAGGGUGGCAACAAUGGGGAAUAUUGCACGAUCGGCUGAAGCCUGAGGCAGCAACGCCGCGUGCGGGAGGACGGCCUUCGGGUUGUAAACCGCUUUCGCCUAUGACUAAGCGUGAGUGACGAUAAUAAGUAAAGAAGCACCGGCUAACUACGUG
rnacentral:rRNA from 1 species